CACAAUAUAACCAAUGCUUUGGUCUUACAGCAAGCCAUUAUUUGUUCAGAUAACAAAAGGCCUUUUCAGGUGCAGAUCCACUUCUGGGGAAGAAAAAAACAUGGAGCAGAUUCUGGACUGUUCCCCCUCCAUGGGUGCCAUCAGCACAUAACACACUGGUACCCUGUGAAUGCAGGGUGCUACUCCCCCUUCUUCCUAACGCCAGCAAGAACUGCAAAUAAAGGAACAUUUCACAUAGAUCUGCAGCCAUCUGUUCACCUGAGUUAGCACUGAUGGGCUCCUCAGAGAGCAAACCUCACCUGUCAGAAGAUCAGGAUGGAAAAUAGAAAGGUGAAAACAGAGAGGUACUUUCCUCCUCUGCUCCACAAAGUAAUGUUUCCAGAAAUACCAUGGCUUGAUUUA